UACUACGGGAGGCAGCAGUGGGGAAUCUUGGACAAUGGGGGCAACCCUGAUCCAGCCAUGCCGCGUGAGUGAUGAAGGCCUUAGGGUCGUAAAGCUCUUUCGCCUGUGAAGAUAAUGACGGUAGCAGGUAAAGAAACCCCGGCUAACUCCGUGCCAGCAGCCGCGGUAAUACGGAGGGGGUUAGCGUUGUUCGGAAUUACUGGGCGUAAAGCGCACGUAGGCGGAUCGGAAAGUUGGGGGUGAAAUCCCGGGGCUCAACCCCGGAACUGCCUCCAAAACUAUCGGUCUAGAGUUCGAGAGAGGUGAGUGGAAUUCCGAGUGUAGAGGUGAAAUUCGUAGAUAUUCGGAGGAACACCAGUGGCGAAGGCGGCUCACUGGCUCGAUACUGACGCUGAGGUGCGAAAGUGUGGGGAGCAAACAGGAUUAAAUACCCUGGUUGUCCACACCGUAAACAAUGAAUGCCAGUCGUCGGGUAGCAUGCUUUUCGGGGACACCCCUAACGGAUUAAGCAUUCCCCCU
rnacentral:rRNA from 1 species